UAGGGAAUAUUGCACAAUGGGCGAAAGCCUGAUGCAGCAACGCCGCGUGCACGAUGAAGGCCUUCGGGUCGUAAAGUGCUUUUCUGUAGGACGAGAGAGGACGGUACUGCAGGAAUAAGGAUCGGCUAACUACGUGCCAGCAGCCGCGGUAACACGUAGGAUCCGAGCGUUAUCCGAAUUCACUGGGCGUAAAGCGCUUGCAGGCGGCUGGGUAAGUUGGAUGUAAAAUCUUCUGGCUCAACUGGGAGAUGCCGUUCAAGACUGCCUGGCUAGAGGGCGAUAGAGGGAGGUGGAAUUCCCGGUGUAGUGGUGAAAUGCGUAGAUAUCGGGAGGAACACCAGAGGCGAAAGCGGCCUCCUGGAUCGCAACUGACGCUGAGAAGCGAAAGCUAGGGGAGCAAACGGG
rnacentral:rRNA from 1 species